ensembl:lncRNA
GGAGGAGGAGGAGGAGGAGGUGGAGGAGGAGGAAGUGGCCAUGUGGAGGAGCUGCAGAGGGAGUUGAAGAGGCUCCAGCGGAAGGUGCGCAACACGCUGGACGACUGGCUGGAGUUCUACCGCACCGCUACGGGGCUCCGGUGUCCGGACAUCGAGCGGCUGCCAGGGGCCCCGCGGAGAGCCCGGCGCCCGGCGGCCGCCGCCCCGCCCUCCCUCAACCCCCCGGGGUGGGAAGACCCCCGGCCGGGCCCCCCCCCCACAGCGGACCCGCCCAGACACCUCUCCGCAGCGGGGGGCUUCCUGCUCCGCGCCUCCACGGGGGACGACUGGGCCAGGACACCUCGGAGACCGGUGAAGGAGGAGUCCCGGGUCACUCAGGUCGGAGCCCUGCGUGUCCACAGCAACAUCAGACUGGAGUAAGACCCGCCGCCGCUGAGCCUUGACGGCAGUCGCCACCACAGCUCUGCCUGUCUAUGACUCAAUGGAGCGGCCUUUUUAUUCACCUACGGGCAGCAGAGUGGAGCGAGGCGGGAACGGGGGGUGAAAGAGGGAGGGGGAUUUCAUGUAUUACGGGACCACAGGUCAGAAUGGAGGAGGCUCCCCCCCCCAUGUGGUUGAGCCGUCACCACGGUAACCUCCAUGUCCUUCCGCCGCCGCCACCAGGUCGUUCAUCAUCCCCCGAAGCCCGGCGCGACCUCCAGCCGACGGAGCGGACCUCCCCCCUGCGGACCCCCCCGUGCCCACCCCCUCUAGCCCGUGUCCAGCGUUGCUACGGGCGACCCUGCAGAGGGACGGGGGCGCGGCGAGGGACGGGGGGCUCCAGGGCGGCGGCGGCGGCGGCGGCGGCGGCGGCGGCGGUGCCGGCGGCGGAUGCGGCUGCUGCAGCUCGGGGCCCAUGCCGCUGGUGACGGACCUGGAGUACGACGCCUUCGUCCGGGGCCAGGGCCCCGUGGCGAGCAGGUCCUGGUGGUGUGUGUGACCGCGCCCGACGGCCGUGACGACACGCUGGAGCUGCUCCAUCAGAGACGGAGCAGGAGACGCAGCGCGCCGUGCGUUCAGUGUCAGAUGGACUCUUUCCGCCUGGUGAGGUACGAGGUGUCCGCAGGGAGGACCGGCCCGGCCAGAAGAAGCCUGCUGCAGAUCCGCCACAGCGUCGCUCCUGGCACACUGCUGGUUAGCAUGCGUCAACCGCCGCUUUAAGAGCAGCAGCUGUCUGUUGAUUUAUGCGCAUGAACACACGGACGUUUACCACUAGAGGGCAGUGCAGCUCGCCUAAAUGUUACACGGUACUGCUCAGUCUCUUCGGACCAUUUCUUCAAAUGGCAGAUUCUACAAGGGGAAGUUGUGAGCAUGUCUUGACCUGAUGGCUAUUACUAUUCUGAUUGAUUUAAGAUUCAAAAACGGUAUUAGUCCAUUGAUCAUACUUGCAGUGAAAUGCUGUUUUGCAGACACCGCAGACUAAAAACUAGAAAGAAAGGUGGACAAUACAGGAUAUACAUUACAUCAUGUGUGCAAAACAAUUUCAACAUUAUACAGUUUAUGACUAAAAAUAUACACGAGCUGUAGGACUCUGACGGGGCUCAACACAAUAGGUGAAACUUGACUCACUGAGCAGAGAUUUUGAAAUGGCCCCGGCUGUCAUGACGAACAGGAUACUCUGGUUCCUGUUGUGGAAUGGCACACUUGCAAUCCACAAACGUCCCACUGUUGAGCGAGCAGAGUGACGGCAUUUGUGGAUAACCUCCAUGAUUGAGAUAUAACCCUUACCCAAUAGUCUGCCAACAAUCUGUGUGUGUGUGUGUGUGUGUGUGUGUGUGUGUGUGUGUGUGUGCGUGUGCGUGUGUGUGUGUGCGUGCGUGUGUGUGCGUGCGUGUGUGUGACAACAGGCACAAUUUAUGUAAUCAGAUACAAAUAUCUUGUUCCUCUUUGUAUUUCAUGCGCAAACAGUUUCCUUAAUUUCGAAUUAAAAUUAAAAAAAAAAUCAAUGGAACUUAAAAUCAUGAAUGGCGGAAAUAAGAGCCUCCUUUGUUCUUCUCCCAGAUGUACAUCAGGGGGAAGCUGCUGUUUGCCGACCACGUCUCAAACUGCUCCCGCGGCUCCAUCAGGAGCCUCCACCGGCAGAUCUCCACCAGCAGAAGGGACUUCAGGCUGGGCUUGAGUCUCCCUGCAGACCACAAGAUCAGUGCUAAGCUGAAGGGCUCCGUGGCCGCAGACUCGCUGUCCACUCUCGAGUCCUGGCCGAUAUCGACCUCCCUCGACCGCAGCGAAACGCGUCUGAGGCACACGGCGACUCAAGAUCCGAUCUUCUGAGAAGCCAUCAAGAUCAGAGGACACCCCAACAGGACGGGAGAACGAUAAAACACAGUCCUGUUGCCCAUCCUACUCCUCUUGUCAGACACUAAACAUCUCCAGCCAUGUCUACUGUACCACAUGACCUAAUAAUAAACUGGUGUGCUACAUCUGUCAGUCAGGGCAGAGUGUGUGACUUUGUGUUGAGGAUGUGGAAUUGUGAGCCAUCAAAUCAUUGGUUAUU